rnacentral:rRNA from 1 species
UACGGAGGGGGCAAGCGUUGUUCGGAAUUACUGGGCGUAAAGGGUGCGUAGGCGGCUUUCUAAGUUGGAUGUGAAAACUCUGGGCUCAACCCAGAGCCUGCAUCCAAAACUGGAGAGCUAGGGUUCUGGAGGGGAAAGCGGAAUUCCUGGUGUAGCGGUGAAAUGCGUAGAUAUCAGGAGGAACACCGGUGGCGAAGGCGGCUUUCUGGACAGAUACCGACGCUGAGGCACGAAAGCUAGGGGAGCAAACAGG